AGCUCCAAUAGCGUAUAUUAAAGUUGUUGCCGUUAAAAAGCUCGUAGUCGAACUUCGGCCUCUGCCACCCGGUCCGCCUAUUUGGGUGUGUACUGGGAGUGGUGGAGGCUUACCUCGUGGUGAACGGCCAUGUCCUUUACUGGGUGUGGUCGGGAACCAUGACUUUUACUGUGAAAAAAUUAGAGUGUUCAAAGCAGGCUUACGCCCGAAUACAUUAGCAUGGAAUAAUAAAAUAGGACGUGCGGUCCUAUUUUGUUGGUUUCUAGGAUCGCCGUAAUGAUUAAUAGGGAUAGUUGGGGCAUUCGUAUUCAAUUGUCAGAGGUGAAAUUCUUGGAUUUAUUGAAGACGAACUACUGCGAAAGCAUUUGCCAAGGAUGUUUUCA
rnacentral:rRNA from 1 species